rnacentral:lncRNA from 1 species
GUCCGCCAUUUCACCCGCGGCCAGCGCGCCGCAGCGCCGCCAUUUUGAGUGCGGGCGCCGCCCUGCGGCUGCCGCUCCCCACCGCCGCCCCGUGCCGCCCGCACCCGGCCCUGCGGUGGUCGACCUCCUCGGCUGUGCCUCGCGGGCACCAAGCAGCAGAGUGUGUACUGAGUCUGCGAAGAGCCGCGCCGCGCCGCUUGGCCCCUUGCGCGGGGUCCGUCGCCCUGCCUACCCCUCGGCGCUGCGUGUCACCGCCGUGCGCGACAGCCGCUCCGCGCGCCAGCAGAUGGCAUCAACUUGGUGAAAAUUACCGAGCGAGGCCUCAGCAGUUCCCUCGGUCUUCAAGGAGGAUAACGAUCCGUCGCCUUCCCCUCCGUUUUGCCGGCGAUGCGAUGGCCCGGUGA